AAUAGAUACCCCGGUAGUCCUUGCUGUAAACGAUGUAUACUUGGUGUAACUGGACUCAACCCCAGUUGUGCCGGAGCUAACGCGUUAAGUAUACCGCCUGGGGAGUACAGUCGCAAGGCUGAAACUCAAAAGAAUUGACGGGGACCCGCACAAGCAGUGGAGCAUGUGGUUUAAUUCGAUGCAACGCGAAGAACCUUACCCAGGCUUGACAUGCAGUAGACCGGUCCAGAGAUGGGCCUUUCCUUCGGGACUGCUGCACAGGUGCUGCAUGGCUGUCGUCAGCUCGCGCCGUGAGGUGUUGGGUUAAGUCCCGCAACGAGCGCAACCCUUAUCAUUAGUUGCCAACAUUUAAGGUGGGAACUCUAAUGAGACUGCCUGGGUUAAACCAGGAGGAAGGUGAGGAUGACGUCAAGUCCGCAUGGCCCUUAUGUCUGGGGCUACACACGUGCUACAAUGGUCGGUACAGAAGGCAGCGAAGCCGUGAGGUGAAGCAAAUCCCAAAGCCGGCUCAGUUCAGAUUGU
rnacentral:rRNA from 1 species